UCGAAGACGAUUCAGUAUACCGUCCUAAGUUCUGACGCAUAAAACGAAUGGCCAACUGGCGAUCCGAGAUUCGUUUGCUUAUUGAAGCGACUCUCGGGCAGCCUCCGCGGAAACCAAAGUUUUUAGGUUCCGGGGGAAGUAAAUGGUUGCAAAAGGGCUGGAACUUAAAGGAAUUGACGAAGAGCACCACACAGGAAAGUGGAAGCCUGCAGGCUUAAUUUGACUCAACACGGGAAAACUCAGCCCGGCCCGGGGACACUGUUAGGAUUGACAGAUUGAUAGCUCUUUCUUGAUUCGGUGGGUGGUGCGGUGGAUGGCCGUUCUUAGUUGGUGGAGCGAUUUGUCUGUUGGUUAAUUCCCGAUAACGAACGAGACUCUAGCCUGCUAAAUAGUACGCCGAUACCUUUUCGUGCGCGGUGCUGACUUCUUAGAGGGACAAGCGUCUUGAAGACGCACGAGAUUGAGCAAUAACAGGUCUGUGAUGCCUUAGAUGUUCGGGGCCGCACGCGCGCGCUACACUGAAGGGGAACAGCGAAGUUUUUCUCUGGUUCGAAAGAACGAACCGGGUAAUCUGUUGAAUUUCCUUCGUGACAGGGAUCGGGGCUUUGCAAUUAUUCCCCGUGAACGAGGAAUUCCACAGUAAGCGCAAGUCAUCAGCUUGCGUUGAUUACGUCCCUGCCCUUUGUACACAACCGCCCGUCGCUACUACGAUUGAAUGGUUUUAGCAAGGUCCUCGGAUUGGUGCCGACUUGGUGUGCAACACUAGGUCGGAUACUGAAAAGAAGAAUCAAACUUGAUCAUUUAGAGGAAGUAAAAAGUCGUAACAAGGUUUCCGUAGGUGGAACCUGCGGAAGGAUCAUUA
rnacentral:ncRNA from 1 species